rnacentral:lncRNA from 1 species
AUGUCUCAAUAUUAGUACCACAUAAUUCCUGACUUUCCCCUAAAUAUUGUGGGAAAGAAGAAAGGUGGCAAUAUGUAUCACAAGAAAUGGAUGCACACAUUCUCUUUCUAAAAGAUCCAAACAAAAUGUAAGCAUUCAGACAGAAUGGCAAACGAGUAUGCUGUAAUGCUCACAUAGGACAGGGCAUGUUGCCUCUCAUUGUUCUGUUUUAUUGACAUAUUUUUGUUGGUAAUUCUUAUACAUUGUCUCUUCUUCAUGAACUUUGAAAGCUUGCUAUACUCCAUAAAAUUCUACAGUGAUUCAGAUAAGAAUUGAGUUUGUAUGUUGAUUUGGGUGGAAUUUAAAUUCACACAAUAUGAAGAUUUUUGUCCAAUAAAUCGAGUACCUCUCCACUUAUUUAAUUCUUCUUUUAUGUUCUUUGGUUCUAUUUUAUAGUUUUAUGCAUACAGAUCUUUUUUUUAUCUUUUUUUAAAUUUUACUUUAAGUUCUGGGAUACAUGUGCUGAAUGUGCAGGUUUGUUACAUAGGUAUACAUGUGCCGUGGUGGUUUGCUGCACCUAUCAACCCAUCAUCUAGGUUUUAAGCCCCACAUGCAUUAGGUAUUUGUCCUAAUGCUCUCCUUCCCCUUUCCCCCCACUCCCUGACAGGCCCUAGUAUAUAAUGUUCCCCUCCCUGUGUCCAUGUGUUCUCAUUGUUCAACUUCUACUUAUAAGUGAAAACAUGUGGUGUUUGGUUUUCUUUUUCUUUUCUUUUUUUUUUUUUUUGAGAUGGAGUCUCACUCUGUUGCCAGGAUGGAGUGGAGUGGCAUGAUCUUGGCUCACUGCAACCUCUGCCUCCCGGGUUCAAGCGAUUCUUCUGCCUCAGCCUCCUGAGUAACUAGGACUACAGGUGUGUGCCACUACACAAAGCUAAUUUUUGUAUUUUUAGUAGAGACGGGAUUCCACCACGUUGGCCAGGAUGGUCUAGAUCGCUUGACCUUGUGAUCCACCUGCCUCGGCCUCCCAAAGUGCUAGGACU